rnacentral:rRNA from 1 species
UGCCAGCCGCCGCGGUAACACGGGGGGCGCAAGCGUUAUUCGGAAUUAUUGGGCGUAAAGGGCGCGCAGGCGGUCUUGUCCGUCAGAUGUGAAAGCCCAGGGCUUAACCCUGGAAUUGCAUUCGAUACUGCAUGGCUAGAGUAUGGUAGAGGGAAGUGGAAUUUCCGGUGUAGCGGUGAAAUGCGUAGAUAUCGGAAGGAACACCAGUGGCGAAGGCGGCUAACUGGACGAGUACUGACACUGAGGUACGAAAGCGUGGGUAGCAAACAGGAUUAGAUA